UACAGAGGGGGCAAGCGUUAUUCGGGAUUAUUGGGCGUAAAGGGCGCGUAGGCGGCUUGGCAAGUGGAAGGUGAAAUCCCUCGGCUUAACCGGGGAACUGCGUCUGAUACUGGAUGGCUUGAGAUUGGGAGAGGGAUGCGGAAUUCCAGGUGUAGCGGUGAAAUGCGUAGAUAUCUGGAGGAACACCGGUGGCGAAGGCGGCAUCCUGGACCAACACUGACACUGAGGAGCGAAAGCCAGGGGAGCAAACGGG
rnacentral:rRNA from 1 species